UUAACGGUGAAUUACUUUCUUUUUUGGCUAAAGAAAGGAAAGACGCCUUCAUCGUCUUGCCAUUUAGGGAGGAGCCGUACUUCUUGCUAGUCUACCAGAGAAACCAUUCAACAAGCUCUGGAAGAAUACAAAAUGAUUCUAAGGCAGAUAGGCUACACGUUCAGGCCC